GUCCAGACUCCUACGGGAGGCAGCAGUGGGGGAUAUUGCACAAUGGGGGGAACCCUGAUGCAGCGACGCCGCGUGGGUGAAGGAGCGUUUCGGCGCGUAAAGCCCUAUCGGCAGGGAAGAAGGAGGACGGUACCUGACUAAGAAGCCCCGGCUAACUACGUGCCAGCAGCCGCGGCAAUACGUAGGGGGCAAGCGUUAUCCGGAUUUACUGGGUGUAAAGGGGGCGCAGACGGCAGCGCAAGGCAGGAGUGGAAGCGCGGGGGCGAACCCCGGGGCUGCUCUUGGAGCUGCGCGGCCGGAGGGAAGGAGGGGCAGGCGGAAUUCCUGGUGGAGCGGUGAAAUGCGUA
rnacentral:rRNA from 1 species